rnacentral:rRNA from 1 species
UACGUAGGCAGCAAGCGUUGUUCGGAGUUACUGGGCGUAAAGAGUGCGUAGGUGGUGCCCUAAGUCUGUUGUGAAAUCUCCCGGCUUAACUGGGAGGGUGCGGUGGAAACUGGGGUGCUUGAGUGUGGGAGAGGUAAGCGGAAUUCCUGGUGUAGCGGUGAAAUGCGUAGAUAUCAGGAGGAACACCGGUGGUGUAGACGGCUGACUGGACCACGACUGACACUGAGGCACGAAAGCGUGGGUAGCAAACAGG